GCCCGGGUGGUGAAAUUGGUAGACACAAGGGACUUAAAAUCCCUCGGACAUUGCGUCUGUGCCGGUUCAAGUCCGGCUUCGGGCACCA
rnacentral:tRNA from 1 species